GAUGAACGCUGGCGGCGUGCUUAACACAUGCAAGUCGAACGAGAAGUGGAGACGGAAACCUUCGGGCGGAAGACUUUAUUUCGAGUGGCGGACGGGUGAGUAACGCGUGGGUAACCUGCCUCAUACAGGGGGAUAACAGUUGGAAACGACUGUUAAUACCGCAUAAGACCACAGCACCGCAUGGUGCGGGGGUAAAAACUCCGGUGGUAUGAGAUGGACCCGCGUUCGAUUAGCCAGUUGGCGGGGUAACGGCCCACCAAAGCGACGAUCGAUAGCCGAUCUGAGAGGAUGACCGGCCACAUUGGGACUGAGACACGGCCCAAACUCCUACGGGAGGCAGCAGUGGGGAAUAUUGCACAAUGGGGGAAACCCUGAUGCAGCGACGCCGCGUGAGUGAAGAAGUAUUUCGGCAUGUAAAGCUCUAUCAGCAGGGAAGAAAAUGACGGUACCUGAGGAAGAAGCCCCGGCUAACUACGUG
rnacentral:rRNA from 1 species